UACGUAGGGAGCGAGCGUUGUCCGGAAUUAUUGGGCGUAAAGAGCUCGUAGGCGGCCUGUUGCGUCCGCUGUGAAAGCCCGGGGCUUAACCCCGGGUCGGCAGUGGAUACGGGCAGGCUAGAGGUAGGUAGGGGAGAAUGGAAUUCCCGGUGUAGCGGUGAAAUGCGCAGAUAUCGGGAGGAACACCGGUGGCGAAGGCGGUUCUCUGGGCCUUACCGGACGCUGAGGAGCGAAAGCGUGGGGAGCGAACAGG
rnacentral:rRNA from 1 species